ACCAAAAACCUAAGUAAAUACUAUCUAUUAAAUAGUUUGAAUUCCUUCUCUAAUUUAUUUUCUUUCUUUCACUUCUGACUAAGUUCGAUCACUGUGAGUUGAUUGUCAGAUUGAGCUCUUAUACGACUAGUGAUCGCCUUUACUUGGUUUGCUGCUCUGAAGAAGAACUCAGGCCCAGAUUCAGGAAAUUGGGAUACUUCCUUGUCACACGUUGGAGUCUGCCGCUGAUUUGAGUAUAGCUGGGCCUCGUUACUUGCCCACCCAAUAUUGAGAGUCCAACCUUCCUUCCCUUUAUUCAAAUUGUUGUUAUUAUUAUUUACUUUUUUCGUGUAUAUGUCUUUGAAGAACUAACAUUAUUGUUGUAUAAU